UCGCAUGACCUGAAGGAUGAUGGAGGA
rnacentral:piRNA from 1 species